AUUGAGCGGCCGAUAUCAGAUUAGCUAGUUGGUGAGGUAAAGGCUCACCAAGGCGACGAUCUGUAGCGGGUCUGAGAGGAUGAUCCGCCACACUGGAACUGAGACACGUUCCAGACUCCUACGGGAGGCAGCAGUGGGGAAUUUUGGACAAUGGGGGCAACCCUGAUCCAGCCAUGCCGCGUGAGUGAAGAAGGCCUUCGGGUUGUAAAGCUCUUUCAGCCGGGAAGAAAACGCAUGGGUUAAUACCCUGUGUGGAUGACGGUACCGGAAUAAGAAGCACCGGCUAACUACGUGCCAGCAGCCGCGGUAAUACGUAGGGUGCGAGCGUUAAUCGGAAUUACUGGGCGUAAAGCGUGCGCAGGCGGUUUGUUAAGAUAGGCGUGAAAUCCCCGGGCUCAACCUGGGAACUGCGUUUAUGACUGGCAGGCUAGAGUAUGGCAGAGGGGGGUGGAAUUCCACGUGUAGCAGUGAAAUGCGUAGAGAUGUGGAGGAACACCGAUGGCGAAGGCAGCCCCCUGGGCCAAUACUGACGCUCAUGCACGAAAGCGUGGGUAGCAAACAGGAUUAGAUACCCUGGUAGUCCACGCCCUAAACGAUGUCAACUAGGUGUUGGGAGGGUAAAACCUUUUAGUACCGGAGCUAACGCGUGAAGUUGACCGCCUGGGGAGUACGGCCGCAAGGUUAAAACUCAAAGGAAUUGACGGGGACCCGCACAAGCGGUGGAUGAUGUGGAUUAAUUCGAUGCAACGCGAAAAACCUUACCUACCCUU
rnacentral:rRNA from 1 species